UUGGUGAGGGUAAAAGCCCACCAAGGCGAAGACGGGUAGGGGACCUGAGAGGGUGAUCCCCCACAAUGGAACUGAAACACGGUCCAUACACCUGCGGGUGGCAGCAGUAGGGAAUAUUGCUUAAUGGGCGAAAGCCUGAAGCAGCAACGCCGCGUGAACGAAGAAGGCCUUCGGGUCGUAAAGUUCUUUUAGGUGGGAUGAGGAAGGACAGUACCACCAGAAUAAGUCUCGGCUAACUACGUGCCAGCAGCCGCGGUAAAACGUAGGAGACGAGCGUUAUCCGGAUUUACUGGGCGUAAAGAGCGUGUAGGAGGCAGUACAAGUUGGAUGUGAAAGCUCCCGGCUUAACUGGGAGAGGUCGUUCAAAACUGUACAGCUAGAGGAAGGCAGAGGUAGACGGAACUCCGGGAGUAGUGGUGAAAUGCGUAGAUAUCCGGAAGAACACCAGAGGCGAAGGCGGUCUACUGGGCCUUAACUGACACUGAGACGCGAAAGCCAGGGUAGCAAACGGGAUUAGAGACCCCGGUAGUCCUGGCCGUAAACGAUGCAGACUGGGCGUUUAUGGGGUAAAACCUGUGAGUGCCGAAGCAAACGC
rnacentral:rRNA from 1 species